CCUGCCCCUAGAAGCACUGUAGAUGUGGCUGCCGUGUCACAUGUGCAUCAGUAGGUGGCAGAGAGGAGAGAAGCUGUGUCUGUGCUCCGUGUUCUGACCUAUGAACAUCUGAAUGAUUAGUAGCCUAACAUU